GAAAGAUUCUGCUGGUUGUUGAAGAUGAGUUGCCUGGAAUAAAAAGCAGAGUAUCAGUAAGGCCCCAAGAGCACCAGUGGACUUGGACUGACUGGAUUUCUGGCUGCACCUCAGACCUGAACUCCUAUUUUGCAUUUGAAGAUCGUUAGACUUUGGAUGAAGCCCCAAGCAGGGAACGUCCCCGUCCUCAAAUGUCACCUCCUCCGGUUUUCUCUGGAAUACAGCUACAGGACAUAGCACUGAAAGGACGGUGGCAAAAAUAGGAAUCAACAGCAGUGCUGAACCAACAGCAGUGGUGUGGAGGCUGCUGUGGGCAAACGACUGGCAGGCGCGACCUCAACCCACGCAAAGGGGCAAGAGCCAAGGUGACAGUGGCGAAGCUGAGCCUGGUCCAGCCAAGCCAAGCUGAAAGGAGCACAGGAGAAUGGUUGGAAAAGCAACAGUGACUUGCGGGACCUAUCUCCAGCACAGGAGGCUGGUGGAAAAGGCACAGAAAUGAGCCCCAGAGGACCAGUAGCACAACCUGACUCAAAUGACCCAGCUUUCCGGGAAGUUCUUAUUUAUUGCUUGUCAUUUUUUGGGCUUGGGGUGGGGGUCUGGGAAACAUUAGUUGAAGAGCUCCCCAACCAUCUUAUCUUUGCUCUCAGUGGCUAUUUGGUGUGGUGUGUGGGAACAGUCGCCAUAUUGCCUCAGUCAGGGGAAGUCAUGCAGAUGCAACCUAUGGGGAGCAUCUGCCAUCUUCUUUUUGUUCCUCAUGGGUGGUGAACACCUUUUUGUGAGUAAAAUACCCUCUCUUUCCAAUUGAUAUUACUUUUCUUGUGCCUAUCCUAUUCCAUUUCUUUCUGUUUUCAGAGUUUUUUUUUUCUCAGCCCACAUUCUCUGCUGCUGUCACUCCCUUACCAGAAAGGGUGGGAGGAAGGGGAGUGGCUUAUUUGGAGUUUAAUUUCUCUCUGAUGUUCAAACCAGCACAAUAUUCCUCUCAGAAGAAAAAGUUAAAAAGAGCUGUUUCCAGAUAAGCCAGACUUUCAGAUGUGGAAUCCAUAAUGUGACUAAACAGACUAGUUUACAGUUUCCUUGCAGUCUUCAAUCUCCACAUUUCAUAAAGCAUUUUAAUAGCUAAAAAGAUAAUUCCCUCCACCCCCCCAUCAAACCCAAAAGUUUGAUUAGGCAGAGCAAAUCAAGCAAUAGUUGACCUUAAAAAAAAAAAGAAAGAAAAAAAUGCAAAACUUUCCAGAAUUAAAACCACAAAUAUUAGUGAAUUAGCAAAAUCAAAUAGAGGAAGCAGGAAAAAAGGAAAAUACUCCAACGCUUUUUCUCCUGUUAAAAUUUUUCAUGAGACUCUCAAGAAAGACCAUGGUAAAAUGAACCUAAACUGCAGGAACCAUAAACUGAAGAGAUAUCCAUCUUAAAUAACAGUGAAAUCAAAACAUGCAUAUUCACACAUGAAAUACUAUUCUUCACACUGUUCAGGCUUUGCAAGCAUAUUGUUACAAAACUGGGUCAUUUUCCUUAAAAAGUAUAAAAAUAUUGCAACUAAGAAAAAUGUCAAAAAUUAUACCCAGAAAGUACAUCAGUUAAGAUGAAAGAAUGUAGGGCAAUUCUGCUUAAUUUAUAUUUCCCACUAAAAUGCUUAUAAACAAUAGAGAGAAAUUAUUUAUUAGCUGUCAUACAACU